rnacentral:rRNA from 1 species
AGUGAACGCUGGCGGUAGGCCUAACACAUGCGAGUCGAACGGCAGCACAGUAAGAGCUUGCUCUUACGGGUGGCGAGUGGCGGACGGGUGAGGAAUACAUCGGAAUCUACUUUUUCGUGGGGGAUAACGUAGGGAAACUUACGCUAAUACCGCAUACGACCUACGGGUGAAAGCAGGGGAUCUUCGGACCUUGCGCGAUUGAAUGAGCCGAUGUCGGAUUAGCUAGUUGGCGGGGUAAAGGCCCACCAAGGCGACGAUCCGUAGCUGGUCUGAGAGGAUGAUCAGCACACUGGAACUGAGACACGGUCCAGACUCCUACGGGAGGCAGCAGUGGGGAAUAUUGGACAAUGGGCGCAAGCCUGAUCCAGCCAUACCGCGUGGGUGAAGAAGGCCUUCGGGUUGUAAAGCCCUUUUGUUGGGAAAGAAAAGCAGCAGGUUAAUACCCCGCUGUUCUGACGGUACCCAAAGAAUAAGCACCGGCUAACUUCGUG